GACGAACGCUGGCGGCGUGCUUAACACAUGCAAGUCGAGCGGUAAGGCCCUUUCGGGGGUACGACGAGCGGCGAACGGGUGAGUAACACGUGGGUGACCCUGCCCUCAGCUCUGGGAUAAGCCUGGGAAACCGGGUCUAAUACCGGAUAUGACUCCAUGACGCAUGUUGUGGGGUGGAAAGCCUUGUGCGGCUGAGGAUGGGCCCGCGGCCUAUCAGCUUGUUGGUGGGGUGAUGGCCUACCAAGGCGACGACGGGUAGCCGGCCUGAGAGGGCGACCGGCCACACUGGGACUGAGGCACGGCCCAGACUCCUACGGGAGGCAGCAGUGGGGAAUCUUGCGCAAUGGGCGAAAGCCUGACGCAGCGACGCCGCGUGAGGGAUGACGGCCU
rnacentral:rRNA from 1 species